GCUUAACACAUGCAAGUCGAGGGGCAGCGGGGGCGAAGCUUGCUUCGCCUGCCGGCGACCGGCGCACGGGUGAGUAACACGUAUGCGACCUGCCCCCCGCAGGGGGAUAACCGGGAGAAAUCCCGACUAAUACCGCGUAACGCCGCUGGGCUGCAUGGCCCGGCGGCCAAAGGAAGCGAUUCCGGCGGGGGAUGGGCAUGCGGCGCAUUAGCUAGUCGGCGGGGUAACGGCCCACCGAGGCGACGAUGCGUAGGGGUUCUGAGAGGAAGGUCCCCCACACUGGUACUGAGACACGGACCAGACUCCUACGGGAGGCAGCAGUGAGGAAUAUUGGUCAAUGGGCGGGAGCCUGAACCAGCCAAGUCGCGUGAGGGAAGACGGUCCUACGGAUUGUAAACCUCUUUUGCCGGGGAGCAACGGGGUCCUUGCGAGGGCCCGAUGAGAGUACCCGGAGAAAAAGCAUCGGCUAACUCCGUGCCAGCAGCCGCGGUAAUACGGAGGAUGCGAGCGUUAUCCGGAUUUAUUGGGUUUAAAGGGUGCGUAGGCGGGCUGUUAAGUCAGCGGUCAAAUGUCGGGGCUCAACCCCGGCCUGCCGUUGAAACUGGCGGCCUCGAGUGGGCGAGAAGUAUGCGGAAUGCGUGGUGUAGCGGUGAAAUGCAUAGAUAUCACGCAGAACUCCGAUUGCGAAGGCAGCAUACCGGCGCCCGACUGACGCUGAGGCACGAAAGCGUGGGUAUCGAACAGGAUUAGAUACCCUGGUAGUCCACGCAGUAAACGAUGAAUGCUAGCUGUCCGGUUCUACGGGACUGGGUGGCACAGCGAAAGCGUUAAGCAUUCCACCUGGGGAGUACGCCGGCAACGGUGAAACUCAAAGGAAUUGACGGGGGCCCGCACAAGCGGAGGAACAUGUGGUUUAAUUCGAUGAUACGCGAGGAACCUUACCCGGGCUCAAACGCCAAAGGACAGCCGUUGAAAGGCGGCCUCCCUCCGGGGUCUUUGGCGAGGUGCUGCAUGGUUGUCGUCAGCUCGUGCCGUGAGGUGUCGGCUUAAGUGCCAUAACGAGCGCAACCCCCAUCGACAGUUGCUAACGGGUAGAGCCGAGGACUCUGUCGAGACUGCCGGCGCAAGCUGCGAGGAAGGCGGGGAUGACGUCAAAUCAGCACGGCCCUUACGUCCGGGGCGACACACGUGUUACAAUGGCCGGUACAGCGGGAUGCCAGGGCGCGAGCCCGAGCGGAACCCGAAAACCGGUCUCAGUUCGGAUUGGAGUCUGCAACCCGACUCCAUGAAGCUGGAUUCGCUAGUAAUCGCGCAUCAGCCACGGCGCGGUGAAUACGUUCCCGGGCCUUGCACACAACGCCCGUCA
rnacentral:rRNA from 1 species